rnacentral:rRNA from 1 species
UACAGGGGGGGCAAGCGUUGUCCGGAUUUACUGGGCGUAAAGAGCGCGCAGGCGGUCGUUCAAGUCGCGUGUGAAAGCCCCCGGCUCAACUGGGGAGGGUCACGCGAUACUGAUCGACUCGAAGGCAGGAGAGGGUAGUGGAAUUCCCGGUGUAGUGGUGAAAUGCGUAGAUAUCGGGAGGAACACCAGUGGCGAAGGCGACUACCUGGCCUGUUUCUUGACGCUGAGGCGCGAAAGCUAGGGGAGCAAACGGG